rnacentral:rRNA from 1 species
GCUGAACGCUGGCGGCGUGCCUAAUACAUGCAAGUCGAGCGCAGCGGGGACGGGUGAGUAACCCGUGGAUAACCUCCUAUAAGACUGGUCUAACUUCGGGAAACCGGAGCUAAACCGGAUACUUCUUGAUGGAUCCGCGCUGCAGUCGCUAGUUGGUAAGGUAACGGCUUACCAAGGCAACGAUGCAUAGCCGACCUGAGAGGGGGACCGGCAACACUGGAACUGAGACACGGUCCAGACGCCUACGGGAGGCAGCAGUAGGGAAUCUGCGGCAAUGGGCGAAAGCCUGACGGAGCAACGCCGCGUGAGUGAUGAAGGUCUGCGGAUCGUAAAACUCUGUUAUUAGGGAAGCGGUACCUAAUCAGAAAGCCACGGCUAACUACGUGCCAGCAGCCGCGGUAAUUC